ACGGGCCCAGCAGGCGCGAAAACUUUACAAUGCUGGAAACAGCGAUAAGGGGACCUCGAGUGCCAGGUUGCAAAUCUGGCUGUCGUAAUGCCUAAAAAGCAUUUCAUAGCAAGGGCCGGGCAAGACCGGUGCCAGCCGCCGCGGUAACACCGGCGGCUCGAGUGGUAACCGUUAUUAUUGGGUCUAAAGGGUCUGUAGCCGGCCGGAUAAGUCUCUUGAGAAAUCUGGCAGCUUAACUGUCAGGCUAUCAGGGGAUACUGUCUGGCUCGAGGCCGGGAGAGGUGAGAGGUACUUCAGGGGUAGGGGUGAAAUCUUGUAAUCCUUGAAGGACCACCAGUGGCGAAGGCGUCUCACCAGAACGGACCUGACGGCAAGGGACGAAAGCUAGGGGCACGAACCGGAUUAGAUACCCGGGUAGUCCUGGCCGUAAACGAUACUCGCUAGGUGUCGGCCACGGUGCGACCGUGGUCGGUGCCGUAGGGAAGCCGUGAAGCGAGCCACCUGGGAAGUACGGCCGCAAGGCUGAAACUUAAAGGAAUUGGCGGGGGAGCAC
rnacentral:rRNA from 1 species